UACGUAGGGUGCAAGCGUUGUCCGGAAUUAUUGGGCGUAAAGAGCUCGUAGGCGGUCUGUCGCGUCGGCUGUGAAAUCCCGAGGCUCAACCUCGGGUCUGCAGUCGAUACGGGCAAACUAGAGUAUUGCAGGGGAGACUGGAAUUCCUGGUGUAGCGGUGAAAUGCGCAGAUAUCAGAAGGAACACCGGUGGCGAAGGCGGGUCUCUGGGCAAUAACUGACGCUGAGGAGCGAAAGCGUGGGGAGCGAACAGG
rnacentral:rRNA from 1 species